UACGUAGGGUGCAAGCGUUGUCCGGAAUUAUUGGGCGUAAAGAGCUCGUAGGCGGUUUGUCGCGUCUGCUGUGAAAACUCGGGGCUUAACCCCGGGCCUGCAGUGGGUACGGGCAGACUAGAGUGCGGUAGGGGAGACUGGAAUUCCUGGUGUAGCGGUGAAAUGCGCAGAUAUCAGGAGGAACACCGGAGGCGAAGGCGGCUCACUGGGGGUCUUCUGACGCUGAGGUGCGAAAGCGUGGGGAGCAAACAGG
rnacentral:rRNA from 1 species